UCUGGUGAAAAUGGCAAGGAGGUCACACCUGUUCCCAUGCCGAACACAGAAGUUAAGCUCCUUAGCGCCGAUGGUAGUCGGACUAACGUUCCGCUAGAGUAGGACGUUGCCAGGC
rnacentral:rRNA from 1 species